rnacentral:rRNA from 1 species
ACGAACGCUGGCGGCGUGCCUAAUACAUGCAAGUAGAACGCUGAGGAGAGGAGCUUGCUCUUCUUGGAUGAGUUGCGAACGGGUGAGUAACGCGUAGGUAACCUGCCUUGUAGCGGGGGAUAACUAUUGGAAACGAUAGCUAAUACCGCAUAACAAUGGAUGACACAUGUCAUUUAUUUGAAAGGGGCAAUUGCUCCACUACAAGAUGGACCUGCGUUGUAUUAGCUAGUAGGUGAGGUAAUGGCUCACCUAGGCGACGAUACAUAGCCGACCUGAGAGGGUGAUCGGCCACACUGGGACUGAGACACGGCCCAGACUCCUACGGGAGGCAGCAGUAGGGAAUCUUCGGCAAUGGGGGCAACCCUGACCGAGCAACGCCGCGUGAGUGAAGAAGGUUUUCGGAUCGUAAAGCUCUGUUGUAAGUCAAGAACGGGUGUGAGAGUGGAAAGUUCACACUGUGACGGUAGCUUACCAGAAAGGGACGGCUAACUACGUG